GACGAACGCUGGCGGUGUGCUUAACACAUGCAAGUCGAACGGUAAGGCCCUUUCGGGGGUACACGAGUGGCGCACGGGUGAGUAACACUUGCGUAACCUUCCCUCACCUCUGGGAUAACAGCCGGAAACGGUUGCUAAUACUGGAUAUGAACUUGCUAGUCAUCCAGUAGGUUGGAAAGAUUUUUUUUGGUUGGGGAUGGACUCGCGUCCUAUCAGCUUGUUGGUGGGGUAGUGGCUCAGCAAGGCUUCGACGGGUAGCCGGCCUGAGAGGGCGACCGGCCACAUUGGGACUGAGAUACGGCCCAAACUCCUACGGGAGGCAGCAGUGGGGAAUAUUGCACAAUGGACGGAAGUCUGAUGCAGCAACGCCGCGUGCGGGAUGACGGCCUUCGGGUUGUAAACCGCUGUCAAUUGUGACGAGGCUUUUUUGUGACGGUAGCAGUAGAAGAAGCACCGGCUAACUACGUG
rnacentral:rRNA from 1 species